rnacentral:rRNA from 1 species
UACAGAGGGUGCGAGCGUUAAUCGGAAUUACUGGGCGUAAAGCGUGCGUAGACGGUUAUUUAAGUCGGGUGUGAAAGCCCCGGGCUCAACCUGGGAAUUGCAUUCGAGACUGAAUAGCUAGGGUACGGUAGAGGGAAGCGGAAUUUCCGGUGUAGCGGUGAAAUGCGUAGAUAUCGGAAGGAACACCGUGACGUAGGCGAAGGCAGCUGGCGCUGGGACG